rnacentral:rRNA from 1 species
AUGGCAGUGGGCGCCGAGGCCGGCGGCGGCGUGCGGCGGCGCGGGUGCGCGUGUGCCAAGGCGGACUUCUUCCCGGAGGAGUCGUUCUCGAGCUGGGCGGCGUACGGGCGCGCGCUGCGGAGCACGGCGCCGCGGCUGGCGGACCGCCUCACGUCGCGCUCCCUGGAGGCGACGGAGCUGCACGAGGUGCGCGCCCGGAGCGGCGCCGACAUGAAGCGGGACCUCACCUGGUGGGACCUCGCCUGGUUCGGCGUGGGCGCCGUCAUCGGCGCCGGCAUCUUCGUGCUGACCGGGCAGGAGGCCAAGGAGGUGGCCGGCCCCGCCGUCGUCGUCUCCUACGUCGUCUCCGGCGUCUCCGCCAUGCUCUCCGUCUUCUGCUACACCGAGUUCGCCGUCGAGAUACCCGUCGCAGGCGGGUCGUUCGCGUACCUGCGGGUGGAGCUGGGCGACUUCAUGGCGUUCGUGGCGGCGGGCAACAUCCUGCUGGAGUACUGCAUCGGCGGCGCGGCGGUGGCGCGCGCCUGGACCUCCUACUUCGCCACGCUGCUCAACCACCAGCCCAGCGACUUCCGCAUCCACGCCCCCGCCCUCUCCCCCCACUACUCCGAGCUCGACCCCAUCGCCGUCGUGGUGAUCACGCUCAUCUGUGCCCUCGCCGUCCUCAGCACCAAGGGCUCCUCCCGCUUCAACUACCUCCUCUCCAUCCUCCACCUCGCCGUCAUCGCCUUCAUCAUCGUCGCCGGCCUCACCAAGGCCGACACGUCCAACAUGCGCGACUUCGCGCCCUUCGGCGCCCGCGGCAUCUUCGCCGCCUCCGCCGUCCUCUUCUUCGCCUACAUCGGCUUCGACGCCGUCAGCACCAUGGCCGAGGAGACCAGGAACCCGGCCCGCGACAUCCCCGUCGGCCUCGUCGGGUCCAUGGCCGUCACCACCGCGCUCUACUGCGUGCUCGCCGUCACGCUCUGCCUCAUGCAGCCCUACGGCGCCAUCGACAAGGACGCGCCCUUCUCCGUCGCCUUCGCCGACCGGGGCAUGGACUGGGCCAAGUACGUCGUCGCCUUCGGCGCGCUCAAGGGGAUGACCACCGUGCUGCUCGUCAGCGCCGUCGGCCAGGCGCGCUACCUCACGCACAUCGCCCGCACGCACAUGAUGCCGCCCUGGCUCGCGCGGGUGCACCCCAGGACCGGCACGCCCGUCAACGCCACCGUCGUCAUGCUCUUCGCCACCGCCGUCAUCGCCUUCUUCACCGACCUCGGCAUCCUCGCCAACCUCCUCUCCAUCUCCACGCUCUUCAUCUUCAUGCUCGUCGCCGUCGCGCUGCUCGUCCGCCGCUACUACGUCACCGGCGAGACCACCGCGGCCAACCGCAACAAGCUCGUGGCCUGCAUCGCCGCCAUCCUCGCGACGUCCGUGGCGACGGCCACGUGCUGGGGGCUGAACGUCGACGGGUGGGUGCCGUACGCGGUGACGGUGCCGGCGUGGCUCGCGUCCACGGUGUGCCUGUGGGCGCUGGUGCCGCAGGCGAGGACGCCCAAGCUGUGGGGGGCGCCGCUGGUGCCGUGGCUGCCGUCGGCGUCCAUCGCCAUCAACAUCUUCCUGCUGGGCUCCAUCGACGCCAAGUCGUUCGAGCGGUUCGGGAUAUGGAGCGCGGCGCUGCUCGUCUACUACCUCUUCGUCGGCCUGCACGCCUCCUACGACGAGGCCAAGGCGAUCGCCGCGGAGGCCCGCGCCGGCAAGGUGGAGGACGGGGACGCUGGGCAGGUGGCGCCGCCGACCAACGGCAAGUGA